GUCGUAUUUCAAAAGAGCAGAAGAAAUCUUAUGUUUUUGAACAAUAACAUUUUUUAUUGCUAAUCUGUUGCUUGGAGAUGGGUGUGUUUACUAGUAACCAAGUGCCACGAAGUGAACAUCGGAUUUUUACUUUUGCAAAAUGUACCAACGGUAAAUGUCUUGUAUCUAAUCAGGUGGACUCUUUCAUCCUCUGAGCUCGGGUCCUCUACCAGAAGCCUGGGAGCCGCAGUAUCUUGGCUGUGCCUAGAACUGUACAUUUCUGGACUGAGAUGACUGAUGCUGUUCCUGGGAUCCUGUUUUAGCCACUGCUCCAUUUUGGGGGUGACUGCCCCGAGGGCCCCUGCGCUCCUCGGCCCUUUAGGCGCAGGGUGAAUCCUAGCAACCUGCGGCCUCUUUGCCAGGAGUACCGGAUGCCAGCUGAUGGUGUAGACCCGCCGAUUUCUGCCAGGAUCGGUUUGGUAAAUGCCAGGUCGCUGACAAAUAAAACUUUGGUCAUUAGGGAUUUCUUUUCCUCU